UAAAAUUUGGCCUUUGCUCAGCAAGGCACUUAAACACACGCCCUGCAGUGCUGUGUGGUUGUCUCCCAGGCCUCACCCAAAAUAAAUGGGGAAAUUCAAGCAGCGCCCGCCUGCGCUGAGUGCAGUGCCAAGACUUCACAUCACGAGAUGCUCUCACCAGCCCCGUUUGACCAGCUGGGCUCUGCUGCCUUCCUGCAUGCUUUCUUGGUGAUGGAAAGAGUAACAUAACAAAGCCUAGAAGCUGCAGCCUGCUCUGAGAAAGAUGGGUGGUUUGUUUUCCUCCCUGCACAUGAUGUGGUCAGGUCUGGGGUUUACUUUCAGACUGUGUUGGUUUGUAGUUCACAGAGGUGGUAAGUGACGGUUCACUGGAAUCGUUAAACUUCAUUGAGAUUUUCUGCACAAUGGCUGUGUCUCAGGCAAGAUAAACAAGCAAACAGAUCAAGCUCUCUUGCAGGCAGAGCUAUCUGCUCCAUGUGAAAAGCUGAAAGAGCUACCAUGGUUUGCAAGUGCAAAGACAAAGGCAGAAAUGCACCAUGCAGGAAAAGCAGACAGCAGACCUCAGGCACAAACAGAG